rnacentral:lncRNA from 1 species
CAACCUCUCUCUUUCUCUUUCUCAAAUUCUCAGCCUCGAAUUUUUGAGCAUCAACAUCCAGCUUUAAGUAUACUUUUUCCUCCUCCAACUGCUCUAUUUUUCUUUCUAAUCCAACUGCUCUAUUUUCCUUUCUAACUCCGAGGUUUUCUUUUCGAAGUCUUGCUUUAUGAUUUCCAAUUCGGAGGGGACCACUCGCAAAUAUUCCUCUAUCAGUCGAGCUUCUUCUAAAUUUGGCCUCGGGAUAUUGUUGUUAACUCUUCUACUCCACCAUUCAUUAUAUUCAAGAGUCACUAUUGGAUUCACAGCAACUCCCUUUAUCCGGCAAGUUUGGUUCCAGGCAUUAUAAAUCUCGCGGCUCUUUUUCUUGGAGUCUUUCUCUCCAUACGAGAACCCACUCUGAGCUAGCCCAUGCGUCAUCGAUAUAAAUUGUCUUGAUCUAUAUUGCCUCAAUACAAGCAGAGGGGCGUAUCCAACAGCUCCCAAAAUCCCCAACAAAGGGACCCAAUCAUAACUCUCACACGGUAGAGAAUCUCAUCGGAAACCAUCCAAGGGGCCUUCCAUUCGAUAUCCUCCUUUUGGAGAUUUUAAAGUAUCGCCAUCCAUUUUUCCUCUGUUAUGUCAUCUCUU